CCCUUCCUUGUUUACCACCGCACUAUAUACACACACGUCGUCAGCAUUACCACUGUGAAGGCCCAACAGUAAGCAGAAUUGGCACACCCCAAAACGUCAGGUCGAGGUGUAGCGCAUGAAAGGGGAAGAAAUGGGCUACAUUCACUGCACAAGUGAACACGAAUAGUGCAUUGAAACAUGCACUUGAAGGAGGAUUUAGCAGUAAGUGGAAAGCAGAGCGUUCCACUGAAAAUGGCCCUGAAGCGCGCACACACCGCCCGUCACUCUCCCCGAGCUCCCCCAAACCCCACUAACUAAGAUGAACACUCGCAAUUAGGGGAGGCAAGUCGUAACAUGGUAAGUGUACCGGAAGGUGUACUUGGAAUAUA
rnacentral:rRNA from 1 species